rnacentral:rRNA from 1 species
GAAGCAGCCAUCAUUUAAAGAAAGCGUAAUAGCUCACUGGUCGAGUCGGCCUGCGCGGAAGAUGUAACGGGGCUAAACCAUGCACCGAAGCUGCGGCAGCGACGCUGAUGCGUUGUUGGGUAGGGGAGCGUUCUGUAAGCCUGUGAAGGUGUGUCGUGAGGCAUGCUGGAGGUAUCAGAAGUGCGAAUGCUGACAUAAGUAACGAUAAAGCGGG